GGGUUGGAGAGGUCUAGAGGGAAGAGGAGAGACAUGCUGGGGCUGGAGAGGUCUAGAGGGAAGAGGAGAGACAUGCUGGGGCUGGAGAGGUCUAGAGGGAAGAGGAGAGACAUACUGGGGCUGGAGAGGUCUAGAGGAGAGACAUACUGGGGCUGGAGAGGUCUAGAGGGAAGAGGAGAGACAUACUGGGGCUGGAGAGGUCUAGAGGGCAGAGGAGAGACAUACUGGGGCUGGAGAGGUCUAGGGGGCAGAGGAGAGACAUGCUGGGGCUGGAGAGCUCUAGAGGGCAGAGGAGAGACAUGCUGGGGCUGGAGAGGUCUAGAGGGAAGAGGAGAGACAUACUGGGGCUGGAGAUGUCUAAAGGGGAGAGAGACAUACUGGGGCUGUGGGGGUCUAGAGGGGAGAGAGACAUACUGAGGCGUUGGGGGUCUAGAGGGGAGAGACACAUACUGAGGCUGUGGGGGUCUAGAGGGGAGAGAGACAUACUGAUGCUGUGGGGGUCUAGAGGGGAGAGAGACAUACUGAGGCUGUGGGGGUCUAGAGGGGAGAGAGACAUACUGAUGCUGUGGGGGUCUAGAGGACGGGCUGCAUAGAGACUAAUAUACCAUAACUCUACUCGGUCUCUGUCUCUCUAUUUUCACACUAACCAGACCCUACAGGCACAGAGUCCACCUCCUCCCUCCCCCUUG
ensembl:lncRNA